GUGAUUCUAAGCACAUUAAAAUCCGGAUGACACUUAUCUGAAUCAUUUCGCAACUUGGAGAGAGAUGGAGAAGAGCUGCAUGGUGUAACUGGGCGUCACCAGAAUGUGCACUGCCAUCUGUGGCUGUCUUCCUCCUGGCAAAUCCUUUUCAUUCCAAGCAAAUAAGAUUCCCUAAAUUAGACAAAAAGGAAAAAACACAACAGAGUCCAUAAUUCUGAGAGGAAGAGAAGAGUGAUCGUCAGUGGCAAAAGGCAAUUGCAGAGAAGCACCACCAAGAGCCAGCUUCAUGCUCAGGAGUGAAUGCUGAGCUGUUUCCUCAUGGUUUCUGGUGCUCCACAUGUUCAGAGAAACUUCUCUGGUAAGAAACUAUAGAAAUGGUGCAUGGAAGUGUUACUAGAAAGGGUUCCUGAUCCAGACCCCAAGAGAGGGUUCUUGGAUCUCACGCAAGAUCCAAAAAUUUAGGGGUGCAUCCAUAGAGUAAAGUGAAAGCAAGUUUA